UUUAGAUUUUAAUGUUGAUCUAUUUAUAAGUUUUGAUUAUUGUGUCUUAUCAUUUAAUGUUUGCUUUGACAAUUAAAUUUAAAUUUUCUAAUUUUAACGACAUCAUUCUAUUUCUUUUUUGACUUUAAGUUCCAAGACUUCUAAUGUCUAGCAAGGAUAGAGAUCAUUCGCUUGUAUGUUUUACUCGCAUGAAACUGAGUGUCCAUAAUUGAACAUUUGGAUUUUUCGCAAUUUGCAAAGAUACACCGAAACAAUGAAAAUACUAUGAUGAACAUUCUAGAUGAAAAUUUUCUUGAAAUAUUUCUUCAACUCUUUCUAUUGAUGAUCUGCUUCAUGCAAAUACUUGGACAUAUCCCAAAGUAGGCUUUGUUAUUUUUAAUGGCAUUGACAACAUUGAAUUGUAAAAAUUAUAUGGACACCUGUUACACCUAUUCAGACAUCUAUACCAAUCUAGACUGGCCGUUUCAUGAAAUACCUUUGCUCGCAUGAAACAGUAUCAUCUCUGCACUUCUUCUGAUUGAAGGGAAACCAAAUAAACCAAAUAUUAGGUAAUAAUAAAAGGUUUUCCCUUCCCUUUAAGUGAAGGAUUGAUGAAGGUAAAUGCAAAAAACAAGAGAAAGUGAAUGGUCUAAAAAAUUGGUUGAAUAUGCUAGGUUGAUCAACUGGAGUUCAUUGGUUAAGUGAUAUAAAACGUUUAAAAAGAUCACUUUAUUGGAAUAACGAUUUACAUUUAUUUGAAGAUACACUUACAUUUCCGUGUACCCAGAUGUUGAUUAACGAUGGUUAAGGCUUGGCAAAGUACAAAAGAGUUAACUUUUGAUCAGGAAGCUAAUGUAAUGGAUUCAGUGGUUCCUUGAUAUGUUGAUCAGGAGGACAAGGACGAAAAAGAGAGCAAUUAAUUGCCUGUUGAUACAAUCAAUUUUAUCAAAACUCAAAUCAGCCUAAUUAUACUAGGCUUGAGAUUCGUUGCAGUUAGUAUUUUUAUAUUGUUACCGGAACACUUGAACUAAUCAAAGUUACAAUUGAAGAGGUACAAAAAGAUGAUUUAUUAAUGUAAUAAAUGGUCAAGCCUUGGACAAAAAUCACUUUAAACCAAGGAAGAAGAGUUACCAACAAGAUAUUUAUCUGGAUGAUCUGUAAAUACUGAAGUAUUACCAAUUUCUGGCAAUUGAACAUCUAUUAAAAGACAAACUGUAACAGUUAAAUCAAGUCUGGUUUUAAUGGUUUAGGUUGAAACCCAAAUCAUAUGGUUUGUCAUUUUACUGAUGCAACUUUAGAUCUUCAACCAGAAAAUGGACUCAUUUUGAGAAAUAAAAUUUCUGUUUCUGUUCAACAGAUCAGUUCGAUUCUCAGUUCAACCUUUUGCUUCAAGUGACCGUAAGAUUUAGAGAUCGGAAACUUAUUAUUUAUCGAUAAAAAUUGUUGGAACACAUCAACGAUCGAAUACUUUUUCAGUCCGAACCCAACUCUUAAAUCAAAAGUCACAUUUUCUGCAGAUAUUCCUUCACGGUCACUAUAAACUUAAUUAACUGGAUAACUAACUCUCAAGCUAUUAAAUUUUGGCAUAAUUGAAGUGACCAGCUACCGUCUCAAAUCAACUAUUAUUAUUAUAUUGGCCAAAAAUAUUGUCUUGAUAAAGUCUUGAAGGUUGACCUUAACAACCUUUACAGCCUUUACAAACCAGGGUAACCCAAAGUAAUCAAAAAGGUGAAAGUGACGACGGAAAAGCCUGGAUUAAGGCCAAAUUGAAUGUCAAUUGAGAUUACAUUAUCCAUUAUUUUCGGGUUUCAAUUCAAUGGGAAACUUGGCCUUUCAUUUGAUCAUUAAUAAUGCGAAAAUACAUUUCGUACUUUUCUGGUUGAUCAAUUGUUCAAUUGAACAAUAAUAAUAUUUUAAAAAUCAUUUCUCAUUAUUAGCAAACUGGUAAUCAUUGCUAUUGUAAUAAGUUAUUACUAAUAACAAAUUGAUAAUGGGCAGCAACAAUAUCAACAUUAUAAAUAGUUAAUCACAAAUGAAAAUAAUGAAAUCAUAAUUAAUCUAUUCACAGGAGUGUCUAAGGCCAUUUUGAUUAGUAAUAUUUUAAUUACAACCAGAAAUUACUGCAGACUGUUAAUUCUUGACUGAUAAAUUAGCUUUCAAUUGAUAGUCUCAAUAUAGCAUAUAAAUUAACCUUGUUUACCGAUUUUACUAUUUACAUCUUGCGAUCAUUUACGCUUUUGAAUUAAAUUACUAACAAUCCAAUCAAGGAUUUUCCAACAAUUAUGCUCUUUUUCUUGAUCAUCCUGACAAUCAUAGUCAAUCCGUGUAAUUAUCAGUUGAAUCGAUGUAAUUUUACUCUGAUAUCAUUGCUUUAAACUCAAUGUCGACCCAUUGGAUUUAAGAGCAACAUUUCAUUAUUUUUUUCAGGUUGAACAUUAUCCUGAUCUUUAAAAAUCUGGUUCCAAUCCAAGGAGGUGAUUCAAGUGAAAGUGAUGACUCUGUUUUUUGUACUUCAAUUACAACUGAAGGAUAGUUUUUGAAAGGAUGGUUUUCACCUGAUGUAAUUUGGUAAUCAAUUGGUUAAUGUUAACUGGUGAAGAGUGUCAAAAAAGAGCGGAAAAGUAGCGCAAAAUUGGUAUUUUCCUCACCAAUUCGUGGAAACCAAAUUGGCAUCGCUUCCUUUUAAAACACAGUUGGAGAUGAAUUGGAAUGAAAGCAAGAAACUGUAAUCACUGUUCAAUCACAAUUAACAUUUUAACCCACAAACAAUUGUUGAAAUAUCAUCAUUAACCAUUUCUCAUCAUUUUAUUUUAACCUUGCUCAUAGUUUCCAUCAAUAAUUAUUAGUUGAUAUUUAACCGGUAAAACCAUUGAUUUCAAUCAAUUUAU